rnacentral:lncRNA from 1 species
UUUUGUUAAGCCAACCUACUUUUACAUUUCUGACUCACUCAAACCCUAUUUUGGGUUUUUGGAUUUCACGAAGACAAAUCUAGAAGAUGCUUCUAUUCUCUCUCUUUUUUUUUUAAUUUCUCUCACUUUUCCAAUGAGUGAGAAUGAAAAGUGUUAUUAGGCUUUUGGCAAUGGUGGACCAAAAGAUAAAAAUGCCGACAUCUUGGAACUCUUAAUCCUUUGUUUUAAUACAUGUUUAAAGCAGUAAACAAGAUCCUAAUUGGACUGUAUCACCUAUGAUUACCUCUUGCAUACUUCGAAAAGAUAUUGUGCUGUGAAGCAUCUCAUGCCAAACAAUUGCUUAAUUAAUUUUUCUUGUUUUUUUUUUUUUUUUGAGAUCAUUUCAUAUUAAAAGAGACGAUAAUACACUAACCCAAACCCAGAACUUUUCAUGAGAAAAUAAUUGCUUCAAACCACUCCACUAGUGAGUCAUUUGUAAUUUUCUUGAUAUUUGUUUGCGUCUAGUGCUUCAUUUCAUUAGAGGAAGAAAAAAAGAAAACCAAU